rnacentral:rRNA from 1 species
AACGCAGCGAAGGGCGAUAAGUAAUGUGAAUUGCAGAAUUCAGUGAAUCAUCGAAUCUUUGAACGCACCUUGCGCUCCUUGGUAUUCCGAGGAGCAUGCCUGUUUGAGUGUCAUUAAAUUCUCAACUAUACAAGUUUUUAUAACUUGCAUAGCUUGGAUCUUGGGAUUUGCGGGCUUUCACAAGUCGGCUGUCCUUAAAUGUAUUAGCAGAGCUUUUGCCGCUGAUCAUUGGUGUGAUAAUUAUCUACGCCAUUGAGAGGUGACAUACUGAGGCUUAGCUUCUAAUCGUCUUCACAGACAAUUUUUGACAAUCUGACCUCAAAUCAGGUAGGAUUACCCGCUGAACUUAA